rnacentral:lncRNA from 1 species
GUAGAAGAGAAGCCCCUCUACCCGGCCCUCUAUCACCCUCAAGGGUCGCCAAGCACGCGGAGCUCAUACGUGUAAGCAAAGCAGGACGGCUCCCAGGGAAGUUGAGGUGAAGACGGCUGCUGCAGGCUGAGCUCCAUCACGCGGCUCAGCUUGCAGGCGAUGGACGGAGGAGUCGAGAAACAACAUUGCCAUCUGUGCCGGUGGACAGAAAGCCAGAUGGAGGCUGAGUGCUCGGGGAAGAGGAAACGCCACUGUUUCGGGCCUCGGAAGCAGAAGAUGCUUCCCGGGCCUUAGAAACCUUGUCCGGGGGAAGAUUCUGAAAUGCCCUGCUGGGCAAAGAAGAGUCCAGAAAUCCUAUUUUCAUUCAUUUGUGGGGAAUUUGGACCCCAAGAGGCCAUAGCCAGAAGUCCAAGCUAAGAUGUCUAUUUGGAGACGCAGUUCCUCCAAGGAUCUCCCAAGAGCGUCAGGGGAAAGAAAAGAAACAGCUCCAAUUUUCGAAGCAGACUGUAACUUACUAAGCCUUCUCUCACCUCUCUGGUCUGGAGAACUGACUGAGGCCUGGUGUGGAAGAUCAUCUCCAUUGUAUUAAGGAGCCCACUGAGGCUCUGGACUCUGUGACUCACCCCAGGUCUCGCGGAAGGGCCAGGGGUUCACCCUCACUCCCUCACUCCUGCGUUGCUGUGAAGCCGCUCUCACCUGCCUGCACAGGCACAGUGGGGCCUGGCACAAGGGACACUCUCAUUGACAGUAAGUUACAGCACUGAGAGGCUGUCUGUAGGCAGAGUGCAAUUCUGGGGGCCCCCGAAGGAGCCCAAGUUGGGCCUCUGGGGCUCAGAGAACUGAGGGACAGCUGGCAGGCCAUGUGAGGGAGGGGGCCCAAGGUGGGAGGGCAAAGCCACAGGGCAGGGUAGCUUGGAGGUCCCCUCUCCAGCAGCCACAUACAAUUUCUCCCUUUCCCUUUCACAUAGGCAUGGCCUUGCCCAGGUGGGCACAUGUGACACCUCAGCCAUGCCAGGUCUUAGAAGGAUGGUGGCAUUAGGGCCUCUGGAACCUGUCUGGCCUCAUCAGCACAGUAGACUGGAGGGAAGGUCCUAGCACCAGCUGCUCCCUUCUCAGUCUCUUCUAGGGAAGGGAAAGGAGAAUUUGGCUGUGCCCCAUCCCCACAUCAUGGGGCCCUUCGGGCAAGAGGGGCUGGCUGAAAGCUGUUCCCUGUAUGAACAUUCAGAGACCUAAGGAAAUGUGUGCCCUGUACCUCCCCAUGCAGCCUCUCCCCAAGAGCACAUCCUGCUGGCACUCAGAAAGGGGGCUCCUGCAUGUGGGGCACAGGCUCCCGCCUCCCUACUCUGUCCCUAAGGCUGCUGCCUUUAUCGGGAAGGGAGGCCUCCUGGCCACCCAGGGGGUGUCCGAUGGAAGGGCAGCAUGGAGAAGAG